rnacentral:tmRNA from 1 species
GGGGAUGUAAAGGUUUCGACGGGGGAGGGGGACCCUGGUAAGCGGGCAGCGGGAUAGGACCGCUAUAAAACCUAUAAACCUAAAAUUAAACGACAACGACUUUGUUGCUGUUGCUGCUUAAAUAAGCAGCCGUUCUUACCUGGAAUACCGCAGCCGGGAUAAGAGCGCCGAUGAGCGGUGAACGUGAGCGAGGGGGCCGCCUUUGACCCUUGCCAUGAACCAGAAGGCUACCAACGCCCAGAGCGUGCUUUUGCGCGCUGGGCAGCGGGAACUUUAAACCAAAAGCUACGCCCGUAGAAAGCCCCGGCGACCCUUUUUCGGACGCGGGUUCGAUUCCCGCCAUCUCCACCA